GUGUCAGCAGCCGCGGUAAUACGUAGGUGGCAAGCGUUGUCCGGAUUUACUGGGCGUAAAGGAUGUGUAGGCGGAUCUUUAAGUGAGAUGUGAAAUCCCCGGGCUUAACUUGGGGGCUGCAUUUCAAACUGGAUGUCUAGAGUGCAGGAGAGGAAGGCAGAAUUCCUAGUGUAGCGGUGAAAUGCGUAGAGAUUAGGAAGAAUACCAGGGGCGAAGGGGGUGUUCUGGACUGUAACUGACGCUGAGGCAUGAAAGCUGGGG
rnacentral:rRNA from 1 species